UUCGAUGGUAGGAUAGAGGCCUACCAUGGUUGCAACGGGUAACGGGGAAUAAGGGUUCGAUUCCGGAGAGGGAGCCUGAGAAACGGCUACCACAUCCAAGGAAGGCAGCAGGCGCGCAAAUUACCCAAUCCCAACACGGGGAGGUAGUGACAAUAUGUAACAAUAUACGGCCUUAUACGUCGUAUAAUUGGAAUGAGUACAAUUUAAAUCCCUUAACGAGGAACAAUUGGAGGGCAAGUCUGGUGCCAGCAGCCGCGGUAAUUCCAGCUCCAAUAGCGUAUAUUAAAGUUGUUGCAGUUAAAAAGCUCGUAGUUGGACCUUGGACCUGGACAGGCGGUCCGCCUCACGGCGAGUACUGUCUUGCUGGGUCUUUCCUCUUGGUGAUCUGUUGUUUCGGCAGCAGGGAUCCAGGACUUUUACUUUGA
rnacentral:rRNA from 1 species